rnacentral:lncRNA from 1 species
AGGCUACCUCCUGAUGAGAGUUGGCUGGUUGGUGGACCUGCCUCUGGACUCUGGGGUGGUCGGUCUUCUGUUCUGAGAGCAGCAGCAGCUUCUCAGCAAUCAGAAUCCAGACGAGUUUAAAAGCGUUUGUACACUCUGCUGCUGCUGCUGCUGCUGCUGCUGAAUAGAGGCUGUAAAAAGGUGUGUAUUGUAGUGCAGACCUCUAUAAGCUGAACGCUCCUCGGGUCAGUACAGUCGCCCGUACUCAGACUCAGCCUUGGAUAAGAACACCGUUCCUCCGCCCGGAGACCGGCCCCGGAUAAAACCAGACGACCUUCAUCAAAGAAGAGAGAAAUAAUCUGAAAAGCAGGAGAGAGAACUGAAAAGAAACUGAACAAACCCUGAAACGCCUGCUUUAAAACCAUGCAGAUGCUCCUCUGACUGUACCAGCAAGUUCAGAAUCUCCAUAUAUAAUAUAUUUACUGUGUAAAGCGAUAGGAAAAUACAUUAACCUGUAAAAAAUGAAGAGAGCACUUCAGUUUCUGAAUCAGUUCCUCUGAUUUUAAGAGUUCAGAAAUUAAUAUUUGGUGGAAUAACCCUGCUUGGUU